UACGUAGGGGGCAAGCGUUGUCCGGAUUUAUUGGGCGUAAAGAGCGUGUAGGCGGCCUGACAAGUCUGCUGUGAAAACUCGAGGCUCAACCUCGAGACGUCGGCGGAAACCCUCUGGCUAGAGUCCGGAAGAGGAGAGUGGAAUUCCUGGUGUAGCGGUGAAAUGCGCAGAUAUCAGGAAGAACACCCGUGGCGAAAGCGGCUCUCUGGAACGGUACUGACGCUGAGACGCGAAAGCGUGGGGAGCGAACAGG
rnacentral:rRNA from 1 species